GUGGCGCACGGGUGAGUAACACGUAGGUAAUUUGCCUUUGGGUGGGGAAUAACUCAGGGAAACUUGAGCUAAUACCGCAUAAUGCAGCGGCUCGACAUCGAGACAGUUGUUAAAGCGGGGGAUCGUAAGACCUCGCGCCUGAAGAGAAGCCUGCGGCAGAUUAGCUAGUUGGUAGGGUAAUGGCCUACCAAGGCGACGAUCUGUAACCGGCCUGAGAGGGCGGUCGGUCACACUGACACUGACAUACGGGUCAGACUCCUACGGGAGGCAGCAGUCGGGAAUUUUGGGCAAUGGGCGAAAGCCUGACCCAGCAACGCCGCGUGAAGGAUGAAAUUUUUCGGAAUGUAAACUUCGCAAGAACGGGAAGAAUAAGUAGAAGAUAAUACCUUCUAUGAUGACGGUACCGUUUGUAAGCUCCGGCUAACUCCGUGCCAGCAGCCGCGGUAAUACGGGGGGAGCAAGCGUUGUUCGGAUUUACUGGGCGUAAAGGGCGCGUAGGCGGUCGUGACAAGUCACUUGUGAAAUCUCCGGGCUUAACUCGGAACGGUCAAGUGAUACUGUCGGACUAGAGUACAGAAGGGGCAACUGGAAUUCUCGGUGUAGCGGUGAAAUGCGUAGAUAUCGAGAGGAACACCUGCGGCGAAGGCGGGUUGCUGGGCUGAUACUGACGCUGAGGCGCGAAAGCCAGGGGAGCGAACGGGAU
rnacentral:rRNA from 1 species